CUGCCAGAUUCCUCAUGCAAUUGGACCUCUCCAGUGGACAGUCUUCAGACAAGCUUCUACAUCAGACAAAUUUUAGACGAACUUUUCUAGCAAUCAAACUCCAGCCGGAUUUCUCCAACAGAAAGUUUUCGUCCGAGCUUCUACAGCAGAUGACUUCCGUCUGCAGCAUCAACGUCUAAGGCACCCAACAACAGUUAACCCAUCAGUAACCUCGAAAACAUUCGAUCUUCUCUUAGAUUGUCGAGACAAAGAGCUAUUCCACUCCACCAGACAUCCCAACCGAGCUUCAACUGUCGGACCUAAACUCUCCGACAAGUCGCGACAACGGACACCACUCCACUCUCUGUAACAAACUCCACAUGGCCC
rnacentral:lncRNA from 1 species